rnacentral:lncRNA from 10 species
GUUUCUACAAAAAAUACAAAAAUUUGGCCAGGCGCGGUGGCUCAUGCCUGUAAUCCCAGCACUUUGGGAGGCCGAGGCAGGGGGAUCACGAGGUCAGGAGAUUGAGACCAUCCUGAUUACAGGCACCCGCCACCAUGCCUGGCUAAUUUUUUGUAUUUUUAGUAGAGACGGGGUUUCACCAUUUUGGCCAGGAUGGUUUCAAACUCCUGACCUCAGGUGAUCUACCUACCUCGGCGUCCCAAAGUGUUGGGAUUACAGGCGUGAGCCACCAUACCCGGCCAAGAUAGUCUUUUUCAACAAGGUGCUGGAACAACUGGACAUCCACAUACGAAAAAUAAAUUUACACACAGACCUUUCACAAAAAUUAACUCAAAAUGCAUUACAGACUUAAAUGUAAAAUGCAAAACUGUGAAACUCCUAGAUGAUGAUAUUGGCAAAAAUCUAGAUUAUCUUGAGUUUGGCAAGAACUUUUUUAGCUAUAACACCAUAGGCAUGAUCUAUGCAAGAAAAAUUGAGAUUCUGGACUUUAUUAAAAUUAAAAACUUCUGUGAAACACAUUGUCAAGAGAAUGAAAAGACAAGCUACAGUCUGGGGCAAAAUAGUUGCAAAAGACAUAUAAAGGACCAUCAACCAAAAUACACAAAAAGAUUCUUAAAACUCAACAAUAAGGAAACAAACAACCUUAUUUUUUUUCUUUUAAAGCCAAGACCUUAACAGACACCUCACCAAAGAAGAUCUACAGAUCGCAGAUAAGGAUUUGAAAAAGUCCUCCGCAUCAUAUGUCAUCAGGGAAAAGAAAUUAAAACAACAAUGAGAUACCACUACACGCCUUCUAGAAUUGCCAAAAUCCAGAACAUGGACACCACUACAUACUGGAAAAAAUAUGGAGCAAGAGGAACUCUCAUUCAUUGCGGCUGGGAAUGCAAAACGGUGCAGCCACUUUGGAAGACAGUUUGGUGAUUUCUUACUAAACUACAUAAACCCUUACCAUAUGAUUCAGCAAUCACACUCUUUGGCAUUUACUCAAAGGAGUUAAAUACAUACUUUCACACAAAAAACCUGCACACGGAUGUUUGUUAUGGCUUUAUUCAUAAGUGCUAAAACUGGAGAGCAACCAAGCUGUCCUGCAGCAGAUAAACUGUAGUACACCCAGAAAAUGGAAUAUUAUUCAGGGCUAAAAAUAAAUGGAACCAUUUAGCCAUGAAAAGACAUGGAGGAAUGUUACAUGCAUAUUACUAAGCGGAAGGAGGAAAUCUGAAAUUUCUAGUUCUAGAUCCCUGAGGAAUCGCCACACUGACUUCCACAAUGGUUGAACUAGUUUACAGUUCCACCAACAGUGUAAAAGUGUUCCUAUUUCUCCACAUCCUCUCCAGCACCUGUUGUUUCCUGAUUUUUUAAUGAUUGGCUCUCUGUUUGUCUGUUGUUGGUGUAUAAGAAUGCUUGUGAUUUUUCUUCCUGGUUUAGUCUUGGGAGAGUGUAUGUGUCAAGGAAUUUAUCCAUUUCUUCUAGAUUUUCUAGUUUAUUUGCGUAGAGGUGUUUGUAGUAUUCUCUGAUGGUAGUUUGUAUUUCUGUGGGAUCAGUGGUGAUAUCCCCUUUAUCAUUUUUUAUUGCGUCUAUUUGAUUCUUCUCUCUUUUUUCUUUAUUAGUCUUGCUAGCGGUUUAUCAAUUUUGUUGAUCCUUUCAAAAAACCAGCUCCUGG